CAAUCUUGUCCAUCGGUUUCACCAGCUACAGUAAAUUCCAAUCCCGCUUUUCACCACAGCCGUCGGAUGUAGUAAUUUUUUAAUCACCUUUUGCUUGUCCCGUCGAGUCCAUGACAAACGGGACCUUAUAUGUGCGGGGCCUGCCGGUCAUAGGCAGCCACACAGGCUCGUUCAUGUCACCCUUCUCGUUUGGGGCAGUGAAAACCUAGACGGGCCAGUCUCUCCUCCCCCAAUCCCCACCUCCUCUCCCGUCCCCCAAUCCCCACCUCCUCUCCCAACCCGUGCCGCCGCCUCUCCUCCUCGGAAGAAGCGCCGUCCGUCACCCCGCUGCACCGGCGUGCGGCGAGAUCAAGAAGGAUGGCCGCAGCGACCGGAGGCACCGAGCGCGGCCAGAGACGGGCCGACGCAGGGCGGAUCCGCGACGACCGGAGGCGGCGGUGGCGGCGGCGACCGGUGGCGCCGGGCGCGGCCAGAGACGGGCCGGCGCUGGGCGGAUCUCCUCUUCCCCAAUGGAGCUCAAGGGGCGGCGGGCGCCUCCUCCUAUUCUCUCUCGUCCAUCUGCCUCUUCCUCUCCCAUCCCUGCCAUCUCUCUUCCUCCAUGGCGCUCCAGGCUCUCCAAAUCAAAGCAGCAGCGGGAGGAGCUCGCACACGACAGGAGGGGGGCCCACGGGUUGGUGCAGCGGAUGGUGGCCGCAGAGGACGAUGGUGCGGCCUCAGGUGGUGGACGGUGGUGCCUGCCGAGGCAUCGACGCGGCGGCUUGGCGGUCAGAGCCGCGUCGGUCGUUUCCUCUCGGGGCUCGGAGGGGAGGCUGCUGUUUGGGAGAUGCCAUUCAUGGUACCAAUUCUACUGGCUCGAUAAAUCUUCUCAAAUCCCGAUCCCAAUACAGUACCAUUAUUUAGUGCACACAUUCAUGAAUAAAUUUGGAUUCUCAACUUCUCAACUUCUCGAUGGACGGCGAGAGGAGGCGUUGCAGGAGGAAGUUGGCGGCGCGCCGGUGGAGUCGGCAAGGCGGAGGGCGGCGGCGCGUCGCCACAGCCGGCUGCUGCGUUUCGGAGGAGGCGCAGCAGGAGCUGGCUGCUCACCUGGCAGCGCCUCUCCCAUCACCCGCAGGCCGCAGCGGACGAGAGGCCAAGCAGGGGAAGAUGGGGGUGGAGACUGAAGGCCACGACCACCACGCGGGCGCAGCAGAUGGCGAGGACAAGGGAGGCGGCGACCCCCACGCCCUCUCAUCCCUUACCCAUGUUGGGUGCCCAGGAGACAGAAACAUUGCUAUCCAUGUGUCCUGCUGCACGUGUUGCCGCUUCUGAAGCGAUGGAGAGGAGCAACGGAUGGGAACAUGGGGUGCUUGAUAGCUAAGAUCACGUGUGCACUGUAAAUGGCAAUUAAUCAGGAAGUUUGGAUUAGUUAAAGCACUGACUUAGUUAAAUCUGCAGGCAGAUGGAGUGGAUUAAUUAGGUACGAGCCCAAGCGGAAGGCUUCAGGCACGCCUCACUUAGGUGGAAAGAGAUGGAAUAAAUAAAUAAAAGAACGGAAUUCACAACAGGAUCUGUCUUGGUCUAGGUAGAAGAAUUUGCUGCAAGCUGUUGGCCAUCGUGGCCCAAAGCACCAGGUGUGAGCUAUUUGCUUCUAAAUGGCCAGUGGCAACAGCACUUGUAUAUGGGCCAGUAACAAUGAUAUAAAUUUUUUGUGAUAUAUGGUGGGUUAUCUCACACCUUUUUUGGCCCUUCACCCGCUUGAUUUGAGUUUUUUAAUGGAAUCAAAUAGUGUCUCUGCAUCUUAACAAGCCAUCCAUUGAAUGAUUCCCACAUCCAUUGAACAUAUUCGUUAAUGAUUCACAUGCCUUCAGUCAGCUUUGCACUAUGGAGAUCACUGUUUCCUAUUUAUGCUUAUUGUUUUAUUGAGUUUAUAAAGCACUGUAGAUUUUGAAUAUGCUCUGAGUUUAACAUUCUUUUGGUAUGUGCCUGACAGGGGUAGGUAAGAAACAACCCCAUUUUUUGCUCAGGCCUAACUAAAGAUUAUGUCAUCCAGCUUUUGUGGGCAGUUAAAAGAGCAACCCUAUUCUCAGUAAAUUUUGCUUGCCUGUCAGUAUAUUUUUGGUUGCAUUGUGUGCUUCAGUCCCUCUGUUUUAUUCUGAUUUGAGGCCUUCAAUCCCCUUUUGGUUGGUUAAUAGUUGGCGCUACUCUUUUCCUUCAUUCAGCUUGUUGUUCUGAUUGAAAUUAGGAAAAAUAUAUACUACCUCGGGACGUAAAUAAUAAACGCGCCGGCAAGCGAAUGAUAUGCGUGCAUAGCAGGAUGUAUUGCGUUCAGUAGAACAAAUUAACAAAAACAUUAUCCAUUAUAUCGAUUGUGCCAAAUUGAACAUAAUGGCCUCUGUGGUGAGUUGCCGGUACCAUCAUGUUCGUUUCCUUCUUAGCUUGGCCGCGUUGCAUUUCUCUUUCUUUUCUUCGUGUUUUCCUCCUUUCCUCCUCUGAAUUUCUCCUCUGCACCUCAUUCCUUUAUUUCUCGUGCCAUGGUCUGCCAUGGUCGAAUUAUGUAGGUAAAAAACCGAGUCUCCUGUCAUGUGAUUAACUUUUUAGAUACCUCCUAAUUUUUGUGAUGAAUUUAUGUGGUAGAUUUCUUUUGGUAAAUCUGGGACGCCUACAACUGAUGGGAAAUGAACUUGUUAGCUCUGUUUAAUGUAAUGACAUAUUAACCUAUGCAGAUACUGGACAUAGAUGUUUUUGUUAGUAACCGCAAAUGUUUAGUUUGAUGCCAUGUCAUUUUUAUGAAUUAUGUGAGAGCUUCAAAUGAUGUUUGUACCAGACCGUGGGCGUGGGGGAUGGUCCUGAUGCAUGGCUAGCCAGUGUAGUUGUGGGGGUAGGAAUACAAAAAGGAAUAUACUUUGAUCGAAACCACGAAUUACUUUGAUAUGUCCUGUCAAGGCAUAAUAAUAGAGCAGGUGCUAAAAUCUCACCCAUUCCUCAAUUAAUUUGUUCAUGCAACUAAGGAAGAUGACCGUGUUUGCUAUAGGUACAUAGAGAUCUCUAGGCACCUCUUUGGUUUAAAACUUAAAUUUACCCAAAAAAAUCUUUGAAGAAUACAUGCUUCCCUUUUUUAGUCAUCCUAUGGGGUUGCCAACUAUUGGUGCAAUAAUUGAACAUGAUUCUUGCUGAUUAUUGUUACCAAGCAAGUGGGCAGACAUGUUUUAUGUGCAUUGAGUGAACUGAAUCUGCUGGUUAGUUAAUUUUGGGAGUUUCUCGCAAAAAAAGUUAAUUUUGGGAGAGUUGGGUUAGUGAAGGUACAUCAGCUUCUCCAAUAACAUUUUGAUCCGUGUUGGUUCAUCCUAAAGAUUAUUCAUGCUUGGCUCAUUUGUACAUAUGUGUGCUUGUCAAGACAAAGGCAACAAAAUUCUGAAGGUGGUAAUUUUUUGUUCCCAUAUGUGAAUGAAUGAAUACUACUUCCUGCAAAAUCUGUACUAGGCAUCAGAUACUUUGCAGAUUCGCUAUAUUAAAGCAUGGUUAAUGCGUAGUUCGGAGGUUCUGGUUCUCAUCUGCAUUCCAUUCUUGAGUGCUUUAGCCAUCAUUGUUUGAAACAUCUUAAAGCCUAAUGUUGCAAUGAUAUGACGGCCCAGAAGGAGUACCUAGCGGGAGCGAGCUAGGUGGAGGCGUGAAUUGAGCGCUGGUGCCGUGGAAGCGAGCGUGGGUCACGGGCGCAGCUGAGCGGUCACCAGCGUCUGAAUAAAUUCCACCUGCAACACUAAUAAAUGCACAAUCAGAGAGAAAUGUUGAGAAAAUAGAGGGCAACAAGUGCCUCGCAACUGGCUGAAAAAUCGCACCGAAUGGAGAGAGCGUUGCGUCGACCAGGGACCUGAUCGGGUGUAUGGCACCAUGUCAUGGAGGGGCACUGCGGCCUGUGGCCCAAGGCGCAACAAUUUUUCUCGAUGCCCACAUACCUCCCAGGUUGUGGUCGCAUAUUCAAAUUUGAUGUCGUUUUAGCGCUUUGCUUCUGAAUAUCAGCACAGGGACUGACAUUCAGGGUUUCAGGGAUUCAGAGAGCCGAUACUUUAGCCAGGACGGCAGUGAGUGCAUGCCGGUGGCCUCAGCUGAUGGACGACGGUGGCCGCCGAGCGAUCGGCAGCAGGUAACAAGAGCAAAGGCUGCUGCUGAUUGUUGGGUUCCAGGACUAGGAAGGAACACUGAAGCUUAUACGUUUUAAAGGAUCAGUUUUGGUGUUCCAUCUUCUCUAUCAAAGCCAUAGGGCUUGAACCCGCUGCUCCGCUCUAAUAUGGCAGCAGCUGGGAGUUGGUGACAGAGCAGGUUUGGACGGGGCUACCUUAUCGGAGACCUGGGUGGUUUGGAUUUCGAAUGCCAAAAUCCUGUUUUUUUGGUUUAAUCCAUUUGCCUUAUUUAUAUGUACUUUAGCUCCCCAGUUAUAUUAGCUAUUUAGCUUAGACACUAUCAGAGUAUUUGUUAAACAUGGUGCAAGUGUUAUUUGUUAAAUGCUUCUACUGUCGCCAGUUGUCUUCCUCAAACAAUGCAGCAUACAUGUAAUAUUCAGAAAAAGAGUAGAAUGAAACAUAUUAUUGUAAUAUGAGCUAUUUACUAUGGUGCUACCUUUUAAUUCUAUCCUUUGUGUUGUA